rnacentral:tRNA from 1 species
GCGGGGAUAGCUCAGUUGGGAGAGCGUCAGACUGAAGUGACACUUCAUCAUUAAUCUGAAGGUCGUGUGUUCGAUCCACACUCACCGCA